rnacentral:rRNA from 1 species
AGGAACCUGCCUUCCAGAGGGGGACAACAGUUGGAAACGACUGCUAAUACCGCAUGACGCAUUGGUGUCGCAUGGCACUGAUGUCAAAGAUUUAUCGCUGGAAGAUGGCCUCGCGUCUGAUUAGCUAGUUGGUGAGGUAACGACCCACCAAGGCGACGAUCAGUAGCCGGACUGAGAGGUUGGCCGGCCACAUUGGGACUGAGAUACGGCCCAGACUCCUACGGGAGGCAGCAG